rnacentral:rRNA from 1 species
UACAUGGGGUGCAAACGUUGCUCGGAAUUAUUGGGCGUAAAGCGCACGUAGGCGGUUUGUUAAGUCGGAUGUGAAAUCCCUCGGCUCAACUGAGGAAGUGCAUCCGAAACUGGCAAGCUUGAGUACGAAAGAGGGUCGCGGAAUUCCCGGUGUAGUGGUGAAAUGCGUAGAGAUCGGGAGGAACACCGGUGGCGAAGGCGGCGAUCUGGACGAUGGCUGACGCUGAGACGCGAAAGCGUGGGAGCAACAGG